rfam:Salmo salar isolate Sally breed double haploid chromosome ssa18, whole genome shotgun sequence.
UGCACGCAUGACUGUAAUUCGCUUUGGAUAAAAGUGUCUGCUAAAUGGCAUUUA